GAUUAAGUUAUUAAGGGCGCACGGUGGAUGCCUUGGCACUAGAAGCCGAUGAAGGACGUUACUAACGACGAUAUGCUUUGGGGAGCUGUAAGUAAGCUUUGAUCCAGAGAUUUCCGAAUGGGGAAACCCAGCAUGAGUUAUGUCAUGUUAUCGAUAUGUGAAUACAUAGCAUAUCAGAAGGCACACCCGGAGAACUGAAACAUCUUAGUACCCGGAGGAAGAAAAAGAAAAUUCGAUUCCCUUAGUAGCGGCGAGCGAAACGGGAAGAGCCCAAACCAACAAGCUUGCUUGUUGGGGUUGUAGGACACUCUAUACGGAGUUACAAAGGACGACAUUAGACGAAUCAUCUGGAAAGAUGAAUCAAAGAAGGUAAUAAUCCUGUAGUCGAAAAUGUUGUCUCUCUUGAGUGGAUCCUGAGUACGACGGAGCACGUGAAAUUCCGUCGGAAUCUGGGAGGACCAUCUCCUAAGGCUAAAUACUCUCUAGUGACCGAUAGUGAACCAGUACCGUGAGGGAAAGGUGAAAAGCACCCCGGAAGGGGAGUGAAAUAGAACCUGAAACCGUGUGCUUACAAGUAGUCAGAGCCCGUUAAUGGGUGAUGGCGUGCCUUUUGUAGAAUGAACCGGCGAGUUACGAUUUGAUGCAAGGUUAAGCAGUAAAUGUGGAGCCGUAGCGAAAGCGAGUCUGAAUAGGGCGUUUAGUAUUUGGUCGUAGACCCGAAACCAGGUGAUCUACCCUUGGUCAGGUUGAAGUUCAGGUAACACUGAAUGGAGGACCGAACCGACUUACGUUGAAAAGUGAGCGGAUGAACUGAGGGUAGCGGAGAAAUUCCAAUCGAACCUGGAGAUAGCUGGUUCUCUCCGAAAUAGCUUUAGGGCUAGCCUCAAGUGAUGAUUAUUGGAGGUAGAGCACUGUUUGGACGAGGGGCCCCUCUCGGGUUACCGAAUUCAGACAAACUCCGAAUGCCAAUUAAUUUAACUUGGGAGUCAGAACAUGGGUGAUAAGGUCCGUGUUCGAAAGGGAAACAGCCCAGACCACCAGCUAAGGUCCCAAAAUAUAUGUUAAGUGGAAAAGGAUGUGGCGUUGCCCAGACAACUAGGAUGUUGGCUUAGAAGCAGCCAUCAUUUAAAGAGUGCGUAAUAGCUCACUAGUCGAGUGACACUGCGCCGAAAAUGUACCGGGGCUAAACAUAUUACCGAAGCUGUGGAUUGUCCUUUGGACAAUGGUAGGAGAGCGUUCUAAGGGCGUUGAAGCAUGAUCGUAAGGACAUGUGGAGCGCUUAGAAGUGAGAAUGCCGGUGUGAGUAGCGAAAGACGGGUGAGAAUCCCGUCCACCGAUUGACUAAGGUUUCCAGAGGAAGGCUCGUCCGCUCUGGGUUAGUCGGGUCCUAAGCUGAGGCCGACAGGCGUAGGCGAUGGAUAACAGGUUGAUAUUCCUGUACCACCUAUAAUCGUUUUAAUCGAUGGGGGGACGCAGUAGGAUAGGCGAAGCGUGCGAUUGGAUUGCACGUCUAAGCAGUAAGGCUGAGUAUUAGGCAAAUCCGGUACUCGUUAAGGCUGAGCUGUGAUGGGGAGAAGACAUUGAGUCUUCGAGUCGUUGAUUUCACACUGCCGAGAAAAGCCUCUAGAUAGAAAAUAGGUGCCCGUACCGCAAACCGACACAGGUAGUCAAGAUGAGAAUUCUAAGGUGAGCGAGCGAACUCUCGUUAAGGAACUCGGCAAAAUGACCCCGUAACUUCGGGAGAAGGGGUGCUCUUUAGGGUUAACGCCCAGAAGAGCCGCAGUGAAUAGGCCCAAGCGACUGUUUAUCAAAAACACAGGUCUCUGCUAAACCGUAAGGUGAUGUAUAGGGGCUGACGCCUGCCCGGUGCUGGAAGGUUAAGAGGAGUGGUUAGCUUCUGCGAAGCUACGAAUCGAAGCCCCAGUAAACGGCGGCCGUAACUAUAACGGUCCUAAGGUAGCGAAAUUCCUUGUCGGGUAAGUUCCGACCCGCACGAAAGGCGUAACGAUUUGGGCACUGUCUCAACGAGAGACUCGGUGAAAUCAUAGUACCUGUGAAGAUGCAGGUUACCCGCGACAGGACGGAAAGACCCCGUGGAGCUUUACUGUAGCCUGAUAUUGAAAUUCGGCACAGCUUGUACAGGAUAGGUAGGAGCCUUUGAAACGUGAGCGCUAGCUUACGUGGAGGCGCUGGUGGGAUACUACCCUAGCUGUGUUGGCUUUCUAACCCGCACCACUUAUCGUGGUGGGAGACAGUGUCAGGCGGGCAGUUUGACUGGGGCGGUCGCCUCCUAAAAGGUAACGGAGGCGCUCAAAGGUUCCCUCAGAAUGGUUGGAAAUCAUUCAUAGAGUGUAAAGGCAUAAGGGAGCUUGACUGCGAGACCUACAAGUCGAGCAGGGUCGAAAGACGGACUUAGUGAUCCGGUGGUUCCGCAUGGAAGGGCCAUCGCUCAACGGAUAAAAGCUACCCCGGGGAUAACAGGCUUAUCUCCCCCAAGAGUUCACAUCGACGGGGAGGUUUGGCACCUCGAUGUCGGCUCAUCGCAUCCUGGGGCUGUAGUCGGUCCCAAGGGUUGGGCUGUUCGCCCAUUAAAGCGGUACGCGAGCUGGGUUCAGAACGUCGUGAGACAGUUCGGUCCCUAUCCGUCGUGGGCGUAGGAAAUUUGAGAGGAGCUGUCCUUAGUACGAGAGGACCGGGAUGGACAUACCUCUGGUGUACCAGUUGUCGUGCCAACGGCAUAGCUGGGUAGCUAUGUGUGGACGGGAUAAGUGCUGAAAGCAUCUAAGCAUGAAGCCCCCCUCAAGAUGAGAUUUCCCAACUUCGGUUAUAAGAUC
rnacentral:rRNA from 1 species